rnacentral:rRNA from 1 species
GACGAACGCUGGCGGCGUGCUUAACACAUGCAAGUCGAACGGAAAGGCCCUGCUUUUGUGGGGUGCUCGAGUGGCGAACGGGUGAGUAACACGUGAGUAACCUGCCCUUGACUUUGGGAUAACUUCAGGAAACUGGGGCUAAUACCGGAUAGGAGCUCCUGCUGCAUGGUGGGGGUUGGAAAGUUUCGGCGGUUGGGGAUGGACUCGCGGCUUAUCAGCUUGUUGGUGGGGUAGUGGCUUACCAAGGUUUUGACGGGUAGCCGGCCUGAGAGGGUGACCGGCCACAUGGGGACUGAGAUACGGACCAGACUCCUACGGGAGGCAGCAGUGGGGAAUAUUGCACAAUGGGCGGAAGCCUGAUGCAGCAACGCCGCGUGCGGGAUGACGGCCUUCGGGUUGUAAACCGCUUUCGCCUGUGACGAAGCGUGAGUGACGGUAAUGGGUAAAGAAGCACCGGCUAACUACGUG